AACCUUAUGGACCUGCGGGCGUAUACCUGCGGAGGGAUCAUUAUUGAAUAAACUUGGUCAAGCUGUUGCUGGUCCUUCGGGGCAUGUGCACGCUUGCCACCAAUUUUAACCACCUGUGCACCUUUUGUAGAUUGGAAACGUUUCUCGAGGCAACUCGGAUUGAGGACUGCUGUGCGCAAGCCAGCUGUUCUUGUGUUUCUCAAUCUAUGUUUUUAUAUACUCCUAAUGUAUGUAUCAGAA
rnacentral:misc_RNA from 1 species